rnacentral:rRNA from 1 species
ACUGAACGCUGGCGGCAGGCCGAACACAUGCAAGUCGAACGAGUGGCGGACGGGUGAGUAAUGUCUGGGCAACUGCCUGAUGGAGGGGGAUAACUACUGGAAACGGUAGCUAAUACCGCAUACAAUCAGAUGUGCCCAGCGGGGAUUAGCUGGUUGGUGGGGUAAUGGCUCACCUAGGCGACGAUACCGAGCUGGUCUGAGAGGAUGACCAGCCACACUGGAACUGAGACACGGUCCAGACUCCUACGGGAGGCAGCAGUGGGUAAUAUGGCACAAUGGGCGCAAGCCUGAUGCAGCCAUGCCGCGUGUGGGAAGAAGGCCUUCUGGUUGUAAAGCACUUUCGGCGAGGAGGCGUUACCCGCAGAAGAAGCACCGGCUAACUCCGUGCCAGCAGCCGCGGUAAUUC